rnacentral:rRNA from 1 species
GUGCCAGCCGCUGCGGUAAUACGUAGGUGGCAAGCGUUAUCCGGAAUUAUUGGGCGUAAAGCGCGCGUAGGCGGUUUUUUAAGUCUGAUGUGAAAGCCCACGGCUCAACCGUGGAGGGUCAUUGGAAACUGGAAAACUUGAGUGCGGAAGAGGAAAGUGGAAUUCCAUGUGUAGCGGUGAAAUGCGCAGAGAUAUGGAGGAACACCAGUGGCGAAGGCGACUUUCUGGUCUGUAACUGACGCUGAUGUGCGAAAGCGUGGGGAUCAAACAGGAUUAGA